AGGGUUGUAGUUAACUAUAACAUUUGGUUUGCAACUAAAAAGUAUUGAAAUAUCAAUCAACCUUA
rnacentral:tRNA from 1 species